GCGGCCUAUCAGCUUGUUGGUGAGGUAAUGGCUCACCAAGGCGACGACGGGUAGCCGGCCUGAGAGGGCGACCGGCCACACUGGGACUGAGACACGGCCCAGACUCCUACGGGAGGCAGCAGUGGGGAAUAUUGGGCAAUGGAGGGAACUCUGACCCAGCGACGCCGCGUGCGGGAUGAAGGCCUUCGGGUUGUAAACCGCUUUCAGCAGGGAAUAAGCGCAAGUGAAGGUACCUGCAGAAGAAGCACCGGCUAACUAUGUGCCAGCAGCCGCGGUAAUACAUAGGGUGCAAGCGUUGUCCGGAAUUAUUGGGCGUAAAGAGAUCGUAGGUGGUUUGUUACGUCGGAUGUGAAAUUCAGGGGCUCAACCCCUGACUUGCAUCCGAUACGGGCAAGCUAGAGUUUGGUAGGGGAGACUGGAAUUCCU
rnacentral:rRNA from 1 species